rnacentral:rRNA from 1 species
AUUGAACGCUGGCGGCAUGCCUUACACAUGCAAGUCGAACGGCAGCACGGGAGCAAUCCUGGUGGCGAGUGGCGAACGGGUGAGUAAUAUAUCGGAACGUGCCCAGUAGUGGGGGAUAACCCGGCGAAAGCCGGACUAAUACCGCAUACGACCUACGGGUGAAAGCAGGGGAUCGCAAGACCUUGCGCUAUCGGAGCGGCCGAUAUCAGAUUAGCUUGUUGGUGGGGUAAAGCCUACCAAGGCGACGAUCUGUAGCUGGUCUGAGAGGACGACCAGCCACACUGGGACUGAGACACGGCCCAGACUCCUACGGGAGGCAGCAGUGGGGAAUUUUGGACAAUGGGCGCAAGCCUGAUCCAGCCAUGCCGCGUGCGGGAA